AUUCUUGCUUAAACAUUUGCUUUAAUUUUGUUUUACAUGUAAGUUUUUGCGUGCGAGAUAUGUUUUCUUAAAGAAAUUGUAGGUAUUAUUAAUUCGCAGUAUUUAAUUUUAUUAAUCAAGGUAACUUGGAACUAGUAAUUUUUUUUAGUACCGGCAAAAGUCGUGCCAGCCGCCGCGGUUACACGAAGGGUGCAAGUGAAUAUUUUUAGUGGGUAGUUAAAUUGGUUGAGAAGAAAGUAAAGAUAAAUUUGUUGGGUGAAAUCUUAAAUUUAUUUAAUUUCUUUAAGAGUUAUUGAAGCUAUGAAAUUUAAAGAUUAAACUAGGAUUAGAUACCCUAUUAUUUUAAACGUUAAUUGUAAAUACUUGAGUAGUAAUAGUUAUGUUCUUGAAACUCAAAGAAUUUGGCGGUGUUUUAGUCCUUUCAGAGGAACCUGUCCCGUAAUCGAUAGUCCUCGUUAAACCUUACUUAAUUUUGCGAUCAGCUUGUAUACCGUCGUCGUCAGAGUGUCCUUGGAGGGGAAGAAUUUUCUUAAAUUUCAACUAGAAAUGAUGUCAGAUCAAGGUGCAGUUAAUGGUUAAGUGGAGAUAGGUUACAAUAAAUUUAUUUAAUACGAAAGAUGAUUUGAAAUAGUUAUCUGAAGGUGAAUUUGAUGGUAAUUAUAUUAAGUGUAUUUAAUUGAUUUUGGCUCUAAAACAUGUACACAUCGCCCGUCGCUCUCGUUAAUUAAGGCGAGAUAAGUCGUAACAUAGUAGGUGUACCGGAAGGUGCACUUGGAAAGUUU
rnacentral:ncRNA from 1 species